rnacentral:lncRNA from 1 species
UUUUAAUUCAUUGUUUGGAACCAGCAAGUACCCAACAGUUUAGUCUAAACCUAAGUUUUAACCAAGAAAGUAUUCAUUGUAUGUGCUACCAAGGAAAUACGGUGGUUUGUCAGAUAGCACACUAACUAGCGUCAGCAUUACUAAUGGUGACAGACGGUUGCAAAGCUCUAGCAAAGGACUCCCCAGUGAGUCAGAGGCCUAUCAUCCAACUGCCUGCUUACCAGCUUUCCUUCCUGUGAGUCACUUUAAGGAACGCAACUUCUUCUUUCUGUUUUCACCUUUCCUCUGCUCCAAUCAGUGGCUGUUAAAGCCACAUUAUAAUUCUGAGAAGUAUUAAUAGAUAUGACUGGGUCUCUCCAGGACAGCUCUUAGAAUGGAAGUAGGAGAAUGGACAUAAAAGAAGAUGCUCAUUUACCAAAUUGGAGAUGUCCCCUGCUAUUCUUUCUCUGAGAGCUGUUGACCAUGACUGUGACAAAAUACCAGACAAAAGCAACUUCAGGGAAAGAGUAUUUGUUUUGGCUCAUAGUUAAGCAGUGCAAUCCUCGUGGCAAGGAAGGUGUGGCCACAGGAGCUUGGAAUGUCUGG